ensembl:lncRNA LINC01777 long intergenic non-protein coding RNA 1777
CGCAGUGUGUUUACUGGAGUUGUGCGCAUGCUUGCUUGAGGCAUUUUUCUCUUAACCAGCGCAAUGUACUUAGGAGGUCAUGCGCCGGUUAAACUCUGCCAUUAUGCCUCUUACUGGGCAUGCUUGAGCCCACGGGCCCAACUCCUGAGAUCCCAUUCGGAAGCUGCUGAUCACCAGUUUCAAGUGUUUCUGUUUAUUGGGAGACUGCCUUCCUCUGGCACUGGCAGUGACCAAUUAUUAUUUUAGAGAGACUGUUAACGGCCUGACCAUCACCUGAUGAAUAUCAGGAAUGUGGCCUGACAUUCCUGGUACACGGAGCGCCUUCUUUUCGUUUAGAGCAUUGGUGUCUCCACAUUAGAAGCAUCCUAUGUAGCUGUUCUGCUUGCAGCUGCCCAAGUCUGCCUGGGCCUCCUGCAUGAGGUCAUGAGUCUUAAUAAAGCCACUGACCCACACAUUUGGAAUCGUACUGACUUUUCACAACUAACAGCCAACACAUUGCCAAGAAGCAAUUCAAUUGUUGAGGAUAUCACAUCAUGCCAGGGAAAGAGAGAUGGAAUUCAGAAAGCCUGGGAUAUUGCAGUUCAGAUAAAUUGCACUUGGUCAACGGAAAUGUCCUAAGGGCACUGCAGCUGCAGCUGGAGAAUGAAGAAGACAUAAAAUUAGGGCUUUUGUCACUGUCGCUUGAUUUCAUUAAAGGGCAUUAGUUCUCGGCGAGAUAUAUGGGGUUGGAGAGGACAGGAGCCAGAAGCUCCCAGUGCAGCAGCAAGGCUGGCCCACGUGAGCACCUGGAGCAUCAUUUCUGCUGCCACAUGCUUGGGCUGCCCCACCCCGCCGUGCCCUGCUCAGCCGUGCCCUGCUCCAUCUCCCUCGCCAGGCCUGAGACCGGCCCCCAGUGUGUUGUGACUCCUGAGGUCUCUCAGCUCUCCCUCAACCCCCAGGAGAAUUGCUCUCCACUCCAGAAGCCGCCUGAUGGGGAGGCUGACCCCUCUCCAGGACUGACUGAUCCAGGUUUAUCCUGACAGUAACCUCUCCCCAGGUCGGAAGACCUCUCAGGCUCUGUUUCUAGGGAGGCUGACCUGCUGACAAUGCUCCUAGCUGGAUUUUGUAAGCGGUCUUGAAUAAAGUCUUCCUCACUGUUUUAACAAGAGACAAGGUAAUGUUCAUUGAACAUCUUAUACAAAGAGGAAACCUGGCACAGAAGUGGACAUGCACUCGGAGGGAAAAUGCCAAGUGACAAUGAAGGCAGAGAUCAGGUGAUGCAUCUGCAAGCUGAGCAACAUCAGGAAUUGCCAAAAACCACCAGGAGCUGGAGAGGCCUGGGACAGAGCCUCCCACGGAGCCUCAAGGGAGCCAGCCCUGCCCACGCCUUGAUCUUUGACGUCCGACCUCAAGAACUAUGAAAGAACCCAUUUCUGUUGGUGAAGGCUCCCCGUCUGUGGUCCCCUGUCCUGGCAGCCCUAGGAACCUGACCUCUGGUCCCUCUGCAUCCCUGGCAUCACUCUGCCUCCCUCUCUUUUUCUCCAGUGAAUCCAACACACUCUCAGUGAGACAGCCAGGUGGCAAGGGGUUCUCGGAGAAACUCCAGCCGGCCUGCUCGCUGGGCAUGUACACUGGAGUGGAGCCACAGAAGUUCACGGUGUUUGCAGCAGGGAGGAGCCUGGCCACUCCUCUUCCUGGUUGGAACCUGGAAUUUAUUUUGUGAGGCGGGAAGCCUAUACUGGGGAGACUCUUGCUCUGCUGAGUCCCCAUUCCCCCUUUAUUUUCCUUUUUGCCCAAUAAAUCCUAUUAUUCUCAGUCUUCAAA